rnacentral:rRNA from 1 species
UGGGCAACCUGCCCUGUACUGGGGAAUAAUCAUUGGAAACGAUGACUAAUACCGCAUGUGGUCCUCGGAAGGCAUCUUCUGAGGAAGAAAGGAUUUAUUCGGUACAGGAUGGGCCCGCAUCUGAUUAGCUAGUUGGUGAGAUAACAGCCCACCAAGGCGACGAUCAGUAGCCGACCUGAGAGGGUGAUCGGCCACAUUGGGACUGAGACACGGCCCAA